GACGAACGCUGGCGGCGUGCUUAACACAUGCAAGUCGAACGGAAAGGCCCUGCUUUUGUGGGGUGCUCGAGUGGCGAACGGGUGAGUAACACGUGAGUAACCUGCCCUUGACUUUGGGAUAACUUCAGGAAACUGGGGCUAAUACCGGAUAGGAGCUCCUGCUGCAUGGUGGGGGUUGGAAAGUUUCGGCGGUUGGGGAUGGACUCGCGGCUUAUCAGCUUGUUGGUGGGGUAGUGGCUUACCAAGGCUUUGACGGGUAGCCGGCCUGAGAGGGUGACCGGCCACAUUGGGACUGAGAUACGGCCCAGACUCCUACGGGAGGCAGCAGUGGGGAAUAUUGCACAAUGGGCGGAAGCCUGAUGCAGCAACGCCGCGUGCGGGAUGACGGCCUUCGGGUUGUAAACCGCUUUCGCCUGUGACGAAGCGUGAGUGAUGGUAAUGGGUAAAGAAGCACCGGCUAACUACGUGCCAGCAGCCGCGGUGAUACGUAGGGUGCGAGCGUUGUCCGGAUUUAUUGGGCGUAAAGGGCUCGUAGGUGGUUGAUCGCGUCGGAAGUGUAAUCUUGGGGCUUAACCCUGAGCGUGCUUUCGAUACGGGUUGACUUGAGGAAGGUAGGGGAGAAUGGAAUUCCUGGUGGAGCGGUGGAAUGCGCAGAUAUCAGGAGGAACACCAGUGGCGAAGGCGGUUCUCUGGGCCUUUCCUGACGCUGAGGAGCGAAAGCGUGGGGAGCGAACAGGCUUAGAUACCCUGGUAGUCCACGCUGUAAACGGUGGGUACUAGGUGUGGGGUCCAUUCCACGGGUUCCGUGCCGUAGCUAACGCUUUAAGUACCCCGCCUGGGGAGUACGGCCGCAAGGCUAAAACUCAAAGGAAUUGACGGGGCCCCGCACAAGCGGCGGAGCAUGCGGAUUAAUUCGAUGCAACGCGUAGAACCUUACCUGGGUUUGACAUGGAUCGGGAGUGCUCAGAGAUGGGUGUGCCUCUUUUGGGGUCGGUUCACAGGUGGUGCAUGGCUGUCGUCAGCUCGUGUCGUGAGAUGUUGGGUUAAGUCCCGCAACGAGCGCAACCCUUGUUCACUGUUGCCAGCACGUUAUGGUGGGGACUCAGUGGAGACCGCCGGGGUCAACUCGGAGGAAGGUGGGGAUGACGUCAAGUCAUCAUGCCCCUUAUGUCCAGGGCUUCACGCAUGCUACAAUGGCUGGUACAGAGAGUGGCGAGCCUGUGAGGGUGAGCGAAUCUCGGAAAGCCGGUCUCAGUUCGGAUUGGGGCCUGCAACUCGACCUCAUGAAGUCGGAGUCGCUAGUAAUCGCAGAUCAGCAACGCUGCGGUGAAUACGUUCCCGGG
rnacentral:rRNA from 1 species